rnacentral:rRNA from 1 species
UUAGGAAUAAGUAACGAUAAUGAGGGUUAGAUUCCCUCCCGCUGUAAGACCAAGGUUUCCCGGGCAAUGCCAAUCAGCCCGGGGUCAGUCGGGUCCUAAGUCUAAGCCGAACGGCGAUGGCGAUGGCAGAGACGGUUAAUAUUCCGUCACUGCCGCAUGGGGCGACGUGGAGACGGAGCAGUGAAACCACCGCGGGGCGACGGAAGUCCCCGUUGAAGAGUGUAGGUGUUGAGGAUGGCAGGCAAAUCCACCGUCCGAGCUGAACUUGAUAGUAUGGAGUCUUCUUCGGAAGAAUCCAAUAGUGUGGGUAAUCAUACUCCCGAGAAAAUCCGCUAAGCUUAACCCAUGCGGCACCCGUACCGCAAACGGACACACGUGGUCGAGUAGAACAUACUGAGGCGUUGAGAGAUUCAUGGUUAAGGAACUAGGCAAAUUGACCCUGUAACUUCGGGAUAAAGGGUCCUCGUGAAUAGUGAGGCGCAGAGAAUAGGUCCAGGCAACUGUUUAACAAAAACACAGGGCUGUGCAAACUCGAAAGAUGACGUAUACAGCCUGACACCUGCCCGGUGCCGCAAGGUUAAGAGGAGAUGUCACUCGCAAGAGGAAGCAUUGAAUUGAAGCCCCGGUAAACGGCGGCCGUAACCAUAACGGUCCUAAGGUAGCGAAAUUCCUUGUCGGGUAAGCUCCGACCUGCACGAAUGGUGUAAUGAUCCGGACGCUGUCUCAACCAUGAGCUCAGUGAAAUUGUAGUAUCGGUGAAGAUGCCGAUUACCCGCGAUGGGACGAAAAGACCCCGUGAACCUUUACUACAGCUUAGCAUUGACCUUGGUCAUCCGAUGUGUAGGAUAGGCCGGAGGCUUCGAAGCGGGAGCGCCAGCUUUCGUGGAGCCAUCCUUGAAAUACGGCCCUUUGGCUGUCUGAGGUCUAACGCGUGAUACGCGGACACUGCUUGGUGGGUAGUUUGACUGGGGUGGUCGCCUCCAAAAGCGUAACGGAGGCUUCCAAAGGUGCCCUCGGGUCGAUUGGUAACCGACCUCAAAGAGUGCAAUGGCAUAAGGGCGCUUGACUGGGAGGCAGACAUGCCGAGCAGGCAGGAAACUGGGGCAUAGUGAUCCGGCGGAUGUGUAUGGAAACUCCGUCGCUCAAAGGAUAAAAGGUACUCCGGGGAUAACAGGCUGAUCCCCCCCAAGAGCUCAUAUCGACGGGGUGGUUUGGCACCUCGAUGUCGGCUCGUCACAUCCUGGGGCUGGAGAAGGUCCCAAGGGUUGGGCUGUUCGCCCAUUAAAGUGGCACGCGAGCUGGGUUCAGAACGUCGUGAGACAGUUCGGUCUCUAUCUAUCGUGGGCGUGGGAGUUUUGAGUGGUGCCGUCACUAGUACGAGAGGACCGUGAUGGACAGACCUCCGGUUUACCAGUUGUGCCGCCAGGCGCACCGCUGGGUAUCUGAGUCUGGAUUGGAUAAGCGCUGAAAGCAUCUAAGUGCAAAGCCAGCCGCAAGAUGAGAACUCCAUUGAGGGUCGUCAGAGACGAUGACGUUGAUAGGAUGCAGGUGUAAAGACAGCGAUGUCAAAGCCGAGCAUUACUAAUUGCCC